rnacentral:misc_RNA from 1 species
GGAAACGUAUCCUUUGGGAG